AGUUAUCGUUUAUUUGAUAGUACCUUACUACUUGGAUAACCGUGGUAAUUCUAGAGCUAAUACAUGCUAAAAAUCCCGACUUCGGAAGGGAUGUAUUUAUUAGAUUAAAAACCAAUGCCCUUCGGGGCUCCUUGGUGAUUCAUGAUAACUUCGCGAAUCGCAUGGCCUUGCGCCGGCGAUGGUUCAUUCAAAUUUCUUCCCUAUCAACUUUCGAUGUUUGGGUAUUGGCCAAACAUGGUUGCAACGGGUAACGGAGGGUUAGGGCUCGACCCCGGAGAAGGAGCCUGAGAAACGGCUACUACAUCCAAGGAAGGCAGCAGGCGCGCAAAUUACCCAAUCCCGACACGGGGAGGUAGUGACAAUAAAUACUGAUACAGGGCUCUUUAGGGUCUUGUAAUUGGAAUGAGUACAAUUUAAAUCCCUUAACGAGGAACAAUUGGAGGGCAAGUCUGGUGCCAGCAGCCGCGGUAAUUCCAGCUCCAAUAGCGUAUAUUAAAGUUGUUGUGGUUAAAAAGCUCGUAGUUGAACCUUGGGCCUGGCUGGCCGGUCCGCCUCACCGCGUGCACUGGUCCGGCCGGGCCUUUCCCUCUGUGGAACCCCAUGCCCUUCACUGGGCGUGGCGGGGAAACAGGACUUUUACUUUGAAAAAAUUAGAGUGCUCCAGGCAGGCCUAUGCUCGAAUACAUUAGCAUGGAAUAAUAAAAUAGGACGUGCGGUUCUAUUUUGUUGGUUUCUAGGACCGCCGUAAUGAUUAAUAGGGACAGUCGGGGGCAUCAGUAUUCAAUUGUCAGAGGUGAAAUUCUUGGAUUUAUUGAAGACUAACUACUGCGAAAGCAUUUGCCAAGGAUGUUUUCAUUAAUCAGGAACGAAAGUUAGGGGAUCGAAGACGAUCAGAUACCGUCGUAGUCUUAACCGUAAACGAUGCCGACUAGGGAUCGGACGGUGUUAUUACUUGACCCGUUCGGCACCUUACGAGAAAUCAAAGUGCUUGGGC
rnacentral:rRNA from 1 species